rnacentral:rRNA from 1 species
AUUGAACGCUGGCGGCAUGCUUUACACAUGCAAGUCGAACGGUAACAGGCCUUCGGGUGCUGACGAGUGGCGAACGGGUGAGUAACGCAUCGGAACAUACCCAGUCGUGGGGGAUAACGUAGCGAAAGUUACGCUAAUACCGCAUACGUCCUGAGGGAGAAAGCGGGGGAUCGCAAGACCUCGCGCGAUUGGAGUGGCCGAUGUCAGAUUAGCUAGUUGGUGGGGUAAAGGCCCACCAAGGCGACGAUCUGUAGCGGGUCUGAGAGGAUGAUCCGCCACACUGGGACUGGGACACGGCCCAGACUCCUACGGGAGGCGGCAGUGGGGAAUUUUGGACAAUGGGGGCAACCCUGAUCCAGCCAUGCCGCGUGAGUGAAGAAGGCCUCGG